GUGCUGGUAUGAUCGCAU
rnacentral:snRNA from 1 species